CCUUUUGUAUAAUGGGUCAGCGACUUACAUUCAGUGGCAAGCUUAACCGAAUAGGGGAGGCGAAGAGAAAUCGAGUCCGAAUAGGGCGACUAGUCGCUGGGUGUAGACCCGAAACCAAGUGAUCUAUCCAUGGCCAGGAUGAAGGUGCCGUAACAGGUACUGGAGGUCCGAACCCACUAAUGUUGCAAAAUUAGGGGAUGAGCUGUGGAUAGGGGUGAAAGGCUAAACAAACUUGGAAAUAGCUGGUUCUCUCCGAAAACUAUUUAGGUAGUGCCUCAAGUAUUACCGUCGGGGGUAGAGCACUGUUUAGGCUAGGGGGUCAUGGCGACUUACCAAACCUAUGCAAACUCCGAAUACCGACGAGUACAGCUUGGGAGACAGAGCACCGGGUGCUAACGUCCGGACUCAAGAGGGAAACAACCCAGACCGCCAGCUAAGGUCCCUAAAAUUGGCUAAGUGGGAAACGAAG
rnacentral:rRNA from 1 species